rnacentral:rRNA from 1 species
AUCCCUCUAGAGAUAGAGUUUUCCCCUUCGGGGGACAAAGUGACAGGUGGUGCAUGGUUGUCGUCAGCUCGUGUCGUGAGAUGUUGGGUUAAGUCCCGCAACGAGCGCAACCCUUAAGCUUAGUUGCCAUCAUUCAGUUGGGCACUCUAAGUUGACUGCCGGUGACAAACCGGAGGAAGGUGGGGAUGACGUCAAAUCAUCAUGCCCCUUAUGAUUUGGGCUACACACGUGCUACAAUGGACAAUACAAAGGGCAGCUAAACCGCGAGGUCAAGCAAAUCCCAUAAAGUUGUUCUCAGUUCGGAUUGUAGUCUGCAACUCGACUACAUGAAGCUGGAAUCGCUAGUAAUCGUAGAUCAGCAUGCUACGGUGAAUACGUUCCCGGGUCUUGUACACACCGCCCGUCACACCACGAGAGUUUGUAACACCCGAAGCCGGUGGAGCAACCACUUUGUGGAGCUAGCCGUCGAAGGUGGGACAAAUGAUUGGGGUGAAGUCGUAACAAGGUAGCCGUAUCGGAAGGUGCGGCUGGAUCACCUCCUUUCUAAGGA